CUACAAACCCGAACUAUCGUUCCAAUUUAUUGGAGAGGAAAGUCCGGACAGCAUAGAGCAAUCUACUGGUUAAGAGCCAGGUCUUGUUUACAAGAACAGAAAGUGCCACAGAAAAUAACCGUUCCGUUUUAACGGAAUAAGGGUGAAAACGUAGAGUAAGAGCCUACGAUCUAUUGCAGUAAUGCAGUUUAUGGGUAAACCUUAGAUGCUGUAAUGCCACAUAUAGGUGCUUUUGAGGGCUGCUCGUUCGAGCCUUAGGGCAAGUACCAGGGUAGGCAGCAAGAUUUAGUUAGUAAUAACUAAACCAGAUAAAUGAUAGUUUAGAAACAGAAUCCGGCUUAUGAGGUUUGUGGUAUU
rnacentral:RNase_P_RNA from 1 species